AACAAUUCAUUUGACUGAUUUCAGUCAUUGGAAAUUGAGAAGAAUCUCCAGAGAUCAAAGUCACCGUGUUAUCCUUUUUCGUUACGCUUUGAUGGAGGACAGCAACAAGAGGUUGGAAUGGGGAAAAAGAACAUGGAAACUACUUUCAGAAAUUCGAACUCAAUCACCGCUAAUUCAAUGCAUAACCAACUUCGUUUCAAUGGAUCUAAUGGCCAACACUCUCUUAUCCGCCGGCGCGUCUCCAGCAAUGGUUCAUUCCAUCCAAGAGAUUCCCGACUUCACCCCGCGCGUCAGUGCUCUGUGCAUCAACGUAGGUACACUCUCUCCCGAGUCUCUUCCCGCCAUGAUUACUGCCGCUAAGCUCUGCUCUCAGUUGGACAUCCCUUGGGUUCUUGAUCCCGUCGCUGUUUCUGCCUCGUCGUUCCGAUUCGAUGCUUGCGUCCAGCUUGUUAUACUCAAACCCACUGUUAUCAGAGGAAAUGCUUCUGAAAUCAUCGCUCUUUCUUCCUCCUAUGAAUCCUCCACCUCCAAGGGUGCAGAUAGUACUCAUGAUUCAAUGGAUGCGGUUGAAGCAGCAAAGUUGUUGGCUCAGAAAAGUGGUUCCGUAGUUGCAGUGUCAGGAGCUACUGACAUUGUCACAGAUGGUUAUCAAGUUGUUGGCGCUCACAAUGGGGUGGCGAUGAUGCAAAAAAUUACAGCAACGGGGUGUUCUGUCACUGCACUCAUUGCUGCCUUUGUUGCAGUUGACAAAAGCCAUGCUUUUGAUGCGGCAGUAUCGGCACUAGCUGUGUUUGGUGUUGCCGGCGAGUUAGGAAUGAAGAUGGCUAAAGGUCCUGCAUCGUUACGAAUGCACUUGAUUGAUGCUCUCUAUGGGCUUGACGAAGCUACUUUACAAUCUCAUGUUAAUAUCACAAGCUUGUGUUGAAGUCUGAAGAUCUUCAUGCAGUACUUGCACAUUUGACUUGUUCGAUUCAUGGGAUUACAAAUAAGAUUUCACAUACAAUUAUACGAUCAAAGUUGAAAACAUACAAAACCAAUCUCAUUUUCAUCUGUAAUUGAAAAGUAAAAACCACCCAGUCCUUUUUCCAUCUUUUACAGCACUGUUCUAGUAGGUCAAAUGGACACUGAUCCUCAGCAAUGUCUCAGCACCAUCAGUGGCAAUCUGUCCUGGUGGGAUAAGAGGUCUCAGUUCAGCAAACCCCCUUGCAUUCUUGAACUUUCCCGUGCCCCCUAUUACCGAUAAUCGUGACAUGGUGCUUCCUAUUUUAUACAAACCAUAAAAGUUCAAGCUAUCUCCAUAUUCCCCUCCUUCAAACAAAGCUGUGAAUACCAUCAUCUGUCUACUCCCAUCUGCUGAACUUGCCACAUACACACCUUGUGCUUUUCCAACUAUCUGGGAACCUAAUUCAGGUUGAGAUGAAGUACCAGCCAAACCAGUUCCUAACGGGAUACCGGUAACGCCAUUGACGGUGGGAAUAGCACCAUUGGCAUUAGGGAUGAGAGUCCCACCUGCCGGAGUGUUGAAUCCGAUCGGAGUUGCAAAGGGCACUUGACCACUGUAUAUAUUACCUAGCAAACCGGUUACGGGUCGGGCCGUUGGAUUACUUCCACCAAGAAUGUCAUGCAUGAAUAGCUCAAUAAUGGGUUCUUUCCCUGUGGCUGCAAUAGGGUCAACUGCUGUUAUAGAAAUUGUCAAAUGAGAAAAGGUUACCAACAAUGCCAAUGGAGCUAUAGCUAACAAUCCCAUAGCCAUCUUGCUUCCAAGUUUUUUAAAUGUAGAUGAUUAAUCUCUGUUUGGAUGAGUGCAAUGGAAUCAGUUUUGGGGUUAUAUAAGAGGGAAUGAAGAGUCUGUUGGAGUAGUUGAAGCAUGGAUCAGUUUUAUUAUCUUUAUUUCUUUUUUUCUAAAUGCUUUAGUUAUGACAAGUCAAAACAUGAGUGGUGGUGUAAGUACAACUAAACCAAAAUCUCAAGUCAAUUGGGUGAUAUUGUUAUUCCACAUUAUCAUUGUCCUUUCUUUGUUAAACUAUUUGAGGAUUUUCAAUUCAAGUCUCAUUUGUCAAAGAAAAUUAUAAAAGAAAUAUUUGAGCUUUAUUUAAUUAUAAUUUUCAUCUUA